rnacentral:rRNA from 1 species
UGGGGAAUAUUGCGCAAUGGGGGGAACCCUGACGCAGCCAUGCCGCGUGAAUGAAGAAGGCCUUCGGGUUGUAAAGUUCUUUCGGUAUUGAGGAAGGUUGAUGUGUUAAUAGCACAUCAAAUUGACGUUAAAUACAGAAGAAGCACCGGCUAACUCCGUGCCAGCAGCCGCGGUAAUACGGAGGGUGCGAGCGUUAAUCGGAAUAACUGGGCGUAAAGGGCACGCAGGCGGUUAUUUAAGUGAGGUGUGAAAGCCCCGGGCUAACCUGGGAAUUGCAUUUCAGACUGGGUAACUAGAGUACUUUAGGGAGGGGUAGAAUUCCACGUGUAGCGGUGAAAUGCGUAGAGAUGUGGAGGAAUACCGAAGGCGAAGGCAGCCCCUUGGGAAUGUACUGACGCUCAUGUGCGAAAGCGUGGGGAGCAAACAGGAUUAGAUACCCUGGUAGUCCACGCUGUAAACGCUGUCGAUUUGGGGGUUGGGGUUUAACUCUGGCGCCCGUAGCUAACGUGAUAAAUCGACCGCCUGGGGAGUACGGCCGCAAGGUUA